AACAAACGCUGGCGGCGUGCCUAAUACAUGCAAGUCGAACGGGGAAAGCUUUCGGGUGAGUACUAGUGGCGCACGGGUGAGGAACGCGUGGAUAAUCUGCCUUAGAGUGGGGGAUAACUAGUCGAAAGAUUAGCUAAUACCGCAUAAGACCACAGGAGCUGGGGCUCAAGGGGUCAAAGGUUUUUCGCUCUAAGAUGAGUCCGCGUAAGAUUAGUUAGUUGGUGAGGUAACGGCUCACCAAGGCGACGAUCUUUAACUGGUCUGAGAGGAUGAUCAGUCACACUGGAACUGAGACACGGUCCAGACUCCUACGGGAGGCAGCAGUAGGGAAUAUUGCACAAUGGAGGAAACUCUGAUGCAGCGACGCCGCGUGAGUGAUGAAGGCCUUCGGGUCGUAAAGCUCUGUCGCAGGGGAAUAACACAAUGAAGGUACCCUGUAAGAAAGGAUCGGCUAACUUCGUGCCAGCAGCCGCCGUAAGAC
rnacentral:rRNA from 1 species